GAUGAACGCUGGCGGCGUGCCUAAUACAUGCAAGUCGAGCGAACAGACGAGGAGCUUGCUCCUCUGACGUUAGCGGCGGACGGGUGAGUAAAACGUGGAUAACCUACCUAUAAGACUGGGAUAACUUCGGGAAACCGGAGCUAAUACCGGAUAAUAUAUUGAACCGCAUGGUUCAAUAGUGAAAGACGGUUUUGCUGUCACUUAUAGAUGGAUCCGCGCCGCAUUAGCUAGUUGGUAAGGUAACGGCUUACCAAGGCAACGAUGCGUAGCCGACCUGAGAGGGUGAUCGGCCACACUGGAACUGAGACACGGUCCAGACUCCUACGGGAGGCAGCAGUAGGGAAUCUUCCGCAAUGGGCGAAAGCCUGACGGAGCAACGCCGCGUGAGUGAUGAAGGUCUUCGGAUCGUAAAACUCUGCUAUUAGGGAAGAACAAAUGUGUAAGUAACUAUGCACGUCUUGACGGUACCUAAUCAGAAAGCCACGGCUAACUACGUG
rnacentral:rRNA from 1 species